rnacentral:rRNA from 1 species
UACGAAGGGGGCGAGCGUUGUUCGGAUUUACUGGGCGUAAAGGGCGCGCAGGCGGCUCAUUUUGUCAGGCGUGAAAGCCCCGGGCUUAACCUGGGAACUGCGUUUGAUACGGAUGGGCUAGAGUUCGGGAGAGGAGAGUGGAAUUCCCAGUGUAGAGGUGAAAUUCGUAGAUAUGGGAAGAACACCGGUGGCGAAGGCGGCCAUCUGGACCGAUACUGACGCUGAGGCGCGAAAGCGUGGGGAGCAAACAGG